rnacentral:rRNA from 1 species
GAGUUUGAUCAUGGCUCAGAUUGAACGCUGGCGGCAUGCCUUACACAUGCAAGUCGAACGGCGGCAUGAUCUAGCUUGCUAGAUUGAUGGCGAGUGGCGAACGGGUGAGUAAUACAUCGGAACGUGCCCUGUAGUGGGGAUAACUAGUCGAAAGAUUAGCUAAUACCGCAUACGACCUGAGGGUGAAAGUGGGGGACCGGCAAGGCCUCAUGCUAUAGGAGCGGCCGAUGUCUGAUUAAC